CCUACGGGAGGCAGCAGUGGGGAAUUUUGGACAAUGGGCGCAAGCCUGAUCCAGCAAUGCCGCGUGCAGGAUGAAGGCCUUCGGGUUGUAAACUGCUUUUGUACGGAACGAAAAAGUCUGCCCUAAUACGGUGGGCCCAUGACGGUACCGUAAGAAUAAGCACCGGCUAACUACGUGCCAGCAGCCGCGGUAAUACGUAGGGUGCGAGCGUUAAUCGGAAUUACUGGGCGUAAAGCGUGCGCAGGCGGUUAUAUAAGACAGAUGUGAAAUCCCCGGGCUCAACCUGGGACCUGCAUUUGUGACUGUAUAGCUAGAGUACGGUAGAGGGGGAUGGAAUUCCGCGUGUAGCAGUGAAAUGCGUAGAUAUGCGGAGGAACACCGAUGGCGAAGGCAAUCCCCUGGACCUGUACUGACGCUCAUGCACGAAAGCGUGGGGAGCAAACAGGAUUAGAUACCCUGGUAGUCCACGCCCUAAACGAUGUCAACUGGUUGUUGGGUCUUCACUGACUCAGUAACGAAGCUAACGCGUGAAGUUGACCGCCUGGGGAGGUACGGCCGCGAGUAGAACGUACAANAGAGUAGACGCGUGAGACGUGACCGACGGACGACGACGAGGGAGGAGG
rnacentral:rRNA from 1 species